rnacentral:rRNA from 1 species
GACGUAGGGCGCGAGCGUUGUCCGGAUUUAUUGGGCGUAAAGAGCUCGUAGGCGGCUUGUCGCGUCGGAUGUGAAAGCCCGGGGCUUAACUCCGGGUCUGCAUUCGAUACGGGCAGGCUAGAGUUCGGUAGGGGAGAUCGGAAUUCCUGGUGUAGCGGUGAAAUGCGCAGAUAUCAGGAGGAACACCGGUGGCGAAGGCGGAUCUCUGGGCCUUACCUGACGCUCAGGUGCGAAAGCUAGGGGAGCGAACAGG